UACGUAGGGGGCAAGCGUUGUCCGGAAUUAUUGGGCGUAAAGAGCGUGUAGGCGGCCAGAUAAGUCCGCUGUGAAAUCUCGAGGCUCAACUUCGAGCUGUCGGUGGAAACUAUCUGGCUAGAGUCCGGAAGAGGAGAAUGGAAUUCCUGGUGUAGCGGUGAAAUGCGCAGAUAUCAGGAAGAACACCCGUGGCGAAGGCGGUUCUCUGGGACGGUACUGACGCUGAGACGCGAAAGCGUGGGGGAGCAAACGGG
rnacentral:rRNA from 1 species